GGCCUGGCAUCUCCAUCCCUUCUUUCCCCCGCCUCCUUCUUCCACCUCCGGCCGCCGCCGCGGCCAGGCCAGCGUGGCGGCGCGCCACCCAGCACCUCCACCACGCGCCACCACUCUCCUCCCCCUACACCAUCCAUCCAUCGCAGCCGCGCCACCGCACCAUCACCAGCAUCCACCAUCAUCGAUCCAUCUCCACCUUCACUGCGCCAUCCCUCCACCAUCUCCAGCCACCGUCGUACCUCGCGCGCCCAACCAGACAAAGGGGAGCACAUGCGUCUGGUCAUCCGCGUGAGGGUGCCCCCGUUUUGCUGUUCUCCUUCUCCUGCGCCCUUCUGCUUGCUUCUUCUCCCGAGUCUACUCUGCUUCUUCUCUUCCCUUACCUCUGUUGCUGCUCUUGCUUCUUCUUCUUCCCCACGAACCUCUUGCUUCUUCCUCAACAUGACUUGCUGCUGCUUCUUCUUGCGCCCCUUGUUGCUGCUUUUCCUCUGAAUCCCCUGCUGAACUGAUGCUGCUCCUAAUCUUCUUCUCCAACUCCUUCAGUUCCUUCUCUGAACCUGCUGCCUCUGCUGCUUCUUCUCCGGGACCCCUUGCCACUGCUUCUCUCUGAACCGAACUGCUGCUGCUCCCUCUCCCAUGAACCUGCUGCUCUCUCUCUCUCUCUCUCUCAAAUUUCUGUAACCUUGAGUAGUGUAAUGUUCAGAGUAGUGUAAUGUUCAGAAUUGUGUAAUAUUCAGACUUGACUAGUUUUAAUCACUUGUUAUUUGUUCAGCUCCGUACUGGUAUAAUAUACUACUUGUUAUGUGACCUGACUUAAUGAUGCCUUCUUAAUUUGGGAGGUGAUUGAUCUAUCAGAAUCUGCUUAUGAGUAUUUCUGUAACAUAUAUGUUCGUGAUAUAUAUUUCAUGUGGUUUCGUAUUUCUGUGAUGUUGAUCAUUUUAGUGCUAGUAUUGUGUCUUGUGUAAUCCAAAUCAUAUAUGUUCUAUGUGUGUGACUAAUUGUCAGCUAGCUGCUUUUAAUAAUUCAUAUUGUUUCUUGUGAAUUUACUAUCGAUGUUAUUCUCUGUAGAAGUAAGAUGUAUGAACAUUUAAUUUCCAGUCUCUGUGUUAACGAUGUUCAUGUGAAAAUAUAUAUGUUUGUGUUGUUAUAUAUUUCUGCCCCUGUCGCACUAGCUUGUUUCUUCCUCCUGACAUCUGCAUGCUAGUUAUAUAUGUCCAUGUAUUUUGACUUCCCUUAUCAUUGAUGCUAGUAUUGUAGUUCUCUAGUAGUUUGAAAAUACCAAUUAGAGAGUGAGUGUCAACCUUAAUUUCCCUCUGUUGUUUGUCAUCGUCCUUGAUUAUUUUAGGUUUAUAUUUUCUUGCGAUCAUCACCCUUAUUGUGUUAUCUAGCUUUCGUCGAGCAUAGUUGUCAUCGCCUAGUCCCUGUGGAGAACACGACAUCCGUAGUUUGGGGCAUAAAAAACCCGCUAUAUUAUAAUUGACCAUUUUGGCGCCGUUGCCGGGGAAUAGCAUCGAGCGAUUGUGUGAAGCUAUAGACUAGGCUUAGUAUAGUUUUUGUUUAAAUUUCCAGUCAAAUUUAUUUCUGUGUUUCUUUUACCUUUUUACUUUUUGUUGCUUCGGCUUAUUAGGGUACUAACCCUCUCACCAGUCUUUGAUGUUUGUGAGCGUGUGUAGGAUAUCUUACUAUUUGUAGGCUGAUUGACAGUUGUGCUUGAAUAUAUGGCUUUAGUACGUGAUCUUUGGUUGCCAAGUAGCUUGGGCACGAUGAAAGGGCCAAUUUGGCCAUCUAUUGAGGCCGAAAAUUUUGAGUUGAGGCCUGGACUUAUUGCUCUCGUCUUGCAGAAUUAGUUUAGAGGAUUACCCAAUGAAGACCCUCAUGAGCACAUUUGUAAUGUCCUGGAGUAUGCCAAUACUGUGCAGUACCAUGGCGUUUCCCAAGAUGCUAUCAAGUGUAUGCUGUUCACAUUCUCUCUCAGAGAUGCUGCUAAGGACUGGUACUAUUCUUUGCCAUCAAUAUCAUACACUUGGGGUGAUAUUUCGCAAGCUUUCCUGCAUAGAUAUUUUCCACUUUACAAGCAAGCUGCAAUUCGUGACCAGAUCCUCAGUUUUGCGCAAGAUGGAAGUGAGAGCUUGUAUGCAGCUUGGGAGAGAUAUAAGUAUUUGCUUAGAAAAUGUCCUAAUCAUGGGCAAAAGGAUCGGUUGGUGCUCCAGAUAUUCUAUAGAGGGCUGACACAUGCUUCGAGAGAUCUUAUUGAUAUGUCCGCUGGUGGAACAAUCAUGAAGAAGACCAUUGAUGGUGCAAUUAUUCUCAUUGAGAGCAUUUCCUUCCACCAAAUGCAAUGGGGUUAUGAAAGGCCCAGUUCAAAUCCGAAGGUUGCAAGCCAUCUGCAAUCAGAAGCUGUGUGUUCCAUAAGUGAACAGAAAUCAUCGAUGGUGCCUAAUAUUCAAAACCAGCAUGUUCCAUUCCGGGGACAACAACAUUUCAGAGCUGAAUUAGAUCCUCCAUGUAGAAAGAUUGAUCUUACUUCAAGUAUCCUUGAUGAUGAUUAUGAUAUUUUUCAAGAUGAUGCAACCAUUGUAGAUCAGAUGGAAACCACAGUAGCAGAUCCAAUACCUCAAUGCAAUGAAACUGUCCAGACUGAGUCAAAGUUGCAAGAAGAUGUUUAUGAGGAACCUACUCUGAUUGAUGCUAAGUUGAGACAACAAGAUAUGGAGAAAUUCACUUGUGUUAGUCAACUACGUGACUGGUGGAAUUUAGUCGUGGCACCAAUUGCCCACACUUGUGUUACAACUGUAUCUGGGAUAUUUGUCAAGAAGAAAUCAUUAGCUCCACCGGUGGUUGCCUCUAUCUCAGUUAAAGAGAGUAUCUCAGAGAAGAAUAGUGAAGAUGAGAUUCCAACUCCUGCACAUACAUCUAAGCAAGUCGGAGACAUUCCAAGGAGAGAGAUACAAGAGGUUGAGUCAAAUUUAGAAGAGUUGAUACUUCAAUAUCCUGAGAAGAUCCCACGUGUUGCUGAGCUGCAUGACUGGUGGAAGUCAUCAGUGUCAUUGUUGAAACUCAACAGUGAUGGUGAUGAGGAGAAUAUUGCUCAGAAAGACAGCGAGGUAGUGAUCUCAGCACCCCUACCAGAUCAUGUUAGUGCAUAUUCACAGAUGGGGACACUUCAGACUCAAUUAGGUGUUGCUGGUAGUAGCACCAUAGAAGAUCCAGAGGAAGAGAGAUCUCAACUUGAAGAAGAAAUACUCGAAGACGAGGAACAAGAUGAUCCAAAGCUCGAACAACCAAGUGAUCAAGUUGAAGAGUCAUCAUCUACUACUCUUGAAGAAGCAAAAGAAGUUGCUGUAGAUGAACUUGAAGAACCAGAAAUUCAUUUGCCUAUUGUCAUACAAGAGCGUGAUGUAGCAGGUUUAUCUAAUCCUCUUGAUGACAUGCGUCCCUAUGACUUAUUUGCUUCUACCUUGCAUUACAUGAUACCAUCAAUUAAGGUAGAUUUGAAAAAGUAUUUGCUUGGAUAUGAUCAUAUAUACCCUGUUAGUGGCAUUACUCACAUUAGUGAUGAUCACAUUUACUUUCCUCGUGCUAGACCUAUGCUUUAUGAAACAUAUCAUUCCCAUGCUAGUCUUGAGCUUAAUGAUAAAUAUCAUCCUCAUGUUAGUGUUGACCUUGCUGAUUUCUACCAUCCUAAACAUGUGCUUUAUAGCUAUGCUUAUGUAAUUGGAUAUUCGAUUGAUGACUUGGAGGGUAUUAUCCCUACCACUUGCAUUGUCUCUUUCGUUGAGUGUUCUUUCAGGUUUUUGCUUCUGCAUCGUUCACUUCAUGCUGACCAGGUUUGAGGUGACAUUCCAUGGGAUCCUGGUGGAUUCACGGCAUGGUGAAGAGGAGAAGCAAGGGGCACACACGAAGAAGAGUGAAGCUGGAGCAUCCAUGAGGAAGGAAAGGAGAAGAGUUGCAGUUGGUGAGGUGAUCAAGCGAGUGCUACUUCAUUAAGCCCGGUGAGCUGUUUCAUGAUCCAUUCUGAAUAUCAUAAAUACAUGCUGAACUCAAUUGCUAGUUGGGUUGCUUGAGCCAGUUAUUACUUGUUGUCAAGCUGAAUUUCACCUUUGGCAUUGUGCUUGAUGUGAAUUUGUCAACUUGAUUUUUGAAUGCCUUGUAAACUAGUGAUCUACACCAUGCAUGCUUUGCUGAAAUUAGUGAAAAUUAUUAGUUUUGAGUGCUCAAAUCCCUAGUACACUAGAAAACUUGAUCAUUUUCUGUUUUUACCUUGAUACACCUAGAUCACCAUGUUUAGAUGCUGAAUUUGUGCUAAGUGUGUUCCCAUUGAGAGCAAUCACCUAACCACUAUGGAUUAGCAUGCUAUGUUCCCUGGAUCGGUAGCAUGUGAACCAGACAUGGAGAAGUGAUGAUUCCUGUUUUUGUGCUUAUGCGUUGUUCAUUUAAGAUAAGUAAUAUUGAAUAAAUAAGUCUGGUCUACCUACAGUAGCAUGUCAUGUUCCUUGGAUCGGUGGCAUGUGAAAUCUGGUAGCUUGGACAGUAAUAAAUAAAUAAAAAUGUAAUUGUCAAACCAGGUGUAUACCAUGUUCUCGAGAUCGGUGGUAUGUUCCUUUGGGGAGACAAACAAAAACAAACUAAUAAUUGGUCGAGCCAGGUGUAUACCAUGUUCUCGGGAUCGGUGGUAUGUUCCUAUGGUGAGACUAAUAAUAAUAUCAUCAUUGCUUUAUCUUUGUAAAUAAGUGAUUUGAUCAAAAGAUUUAAUUCCAGUUCAUUUUGCUCUUGGGAUCAUGCUCUCUUUAGGAACCAUUUGGCACAGUCAUCAUUUAAACUUGUUGAUCCUCUUUUAUCAUUGUAAAAGUUUAAAAUGGUCAUGCUUACUAGUAUCCUACUGCUUUGUAGCACUCUUAACCAUCAAUUUUCACUAGCUAAGUCCAAAAGCAUGCAUUGUUUAGAGAUCUACUUCACUUGGACAUUCUUUACUCAGUUCACUGUUCACAUUCUUGCUCUUGUCAUAUGCCUUUGCUUGAGGACAAGCAAAGAUUUAAGUGUGGGGGAACUUGAUAAGUAUAUUUCACAUAUAUAAUUUUGGUACUCAAAUAUAGCAUCUACCGUGACAUAUUCGUCCAUUCCUGCCAUGAUUGAUUGAAUAUUGCUUGAUAAUCAUCAAAAAGGAUCAUUUACUUGUCUUUGGUCUAUCUUGCAGAAAUGUGCGCAAAGGCACUAAUAAUCGUCAAGAUUCCGUCUAUGUAGCUAUCAAGAAGAGUGAAGAAGAGAAGAGAAGGAAGAAGAGACUUGUGUGAGAUGAAGAGAAGUAACCAGGGGGCCAGAUAAAGAAGUGGGAGGACCUUCUUGUGAAGAAAGAAGAGAAGUAGGAGGGCUAAACAACAAGAACGCAGAUCUGAGGAGAGGAACUAAAUCCCUAGCGCAGCUUCCAUUCCCAAAAUCGGGCCUGGCAUCUCCAUCCCUUCUUUCCCCCGCCUCCUUCUUCCACCUCCGGCCGCCGCCGCGGCCAGGCCAGCGUGGCGGCGCGCCACCCAGCACCUCCACCACGCGCCACCACUCUCCUCCCCCUGCACCAUCCAUCCAUCGCAGCCGCACCACCGCGCCAUCACCAGCAUCCACCAUCAUCGAUCCAUCCCUCCACCAUCUCCAGCCACCGCCGUACCUCGCACGCCCAACCAGACAAAGGGGAGCACAGGUGUCUGGUCAUCCGCGUGAGGGUGCCCCCGUUUUGCUGUUCUCCUUCUCCUGCGCCCUUCUGCUUGCUUCUUCUCCCGAGUCUACUCUGCUUCUUCUCUUCCCUUACCUCUGCUAUUGCUCUUGCUUCUUCUUCUUCCCCACGAACCUCUUGCUUCUUCGUCAACAUGACCUGCUGCUGCUUCUUCUUGCGCCCCUUGUUGCUGCUUUUCCUCUGAAUCCCCUGCUGAACUGCUGCUGCUCCUAAUCUUCUUCUCCAACUCCUUCAGUUCCUUCUUUGAACCUGCUGCCUCUGCUGCUUCUUCUCCGGGACCCCUUGCCACUGCUUCUCUCUGAACCAAACUGCUGCUGCUCCCUCUCCCAUGAACCUGCUGCUCUCUCUCUCUCUCUCAAAUUUCUGUAACCUUGAGUAGUGUAAUGUUCAGAGUAGUGUAAUGUUCAGAAUUGUGUAAUAUUCAGACUUGACUAGUUUUAAUCACUUGUUAUUUGUUCAGCUCCGUACUGGUAUAAUAUACUACUUGUUAUGUGACCUGACUUAAUGAUGCCUUCUUAAUUUGGGAGGUGAUUGAUCUAUCAGAAUCUGCUUAUGAGUAUUUCUGUAACAUAUAUGUUCGUGAUAUAUAUUUCAUGUGGUUUCGUAUUUCUGUGAUGUUGAUCAUUUUAGUGCUAGUAUUGUGUCUUGUGUAAUCCAAAUCAUAUAUGUUCUAUGUGUGUGACUAAUUGUCAGCUAGCUGCUUUUAAUAAUUCAUAUUGUUUCUUGUGAAUUUACUAUCGAUGUUAUUCUCUGUAGAAGUAAGAUGUAUGAACAUUUAAUUUCCAGUCUCUGUGUUAACGAUGUUCAUGUGAAAAUAUAUAUGUUUGUGUUGUUAUAUAUUUCUGCCCCUGUCGCACUAGCUUGUUUCUUCCUCCUGACAUCUGCAUGCUAGUUAUAUAUGUCCAUGUAUUUUGACUUCCCUUAUCAUUGAUGCUAGUAUUGUAGUUCUCUAGUAGUUUGAAAAUACCAAUUAGAGAGUGAGUGUCAAC
rnacentral:lncRNA from 1 species